rnacentral:misc_RNA from 1 species
UGCUCGUGUAUGUAUGUACGUACAUGAUGUCCCGCACCAUCUUACCAUAGAUGGACUCAGCAGUUUUUACCUUUAAUUAUUAACUUUUUUUGUCUAACUUUACCCCCAAAGCAGGUUUUAGAGUAGUUCUGAGUAAUGAUCUCUUGUUCCCAUUGGGAUUGAAUUGAGUUGCUCUCAUGGCUGCCAACAUUCCCGAGGUGAUGGAAGAGAGCGAAACACCAACAUUCAUCCAUCAAGAUCGGACCUGGAGGCCCAACAAGAGAGCUCGCAUCCAAGACGGACUUAUAAGUAGCAGCGAGACAGACGACGCGUUACUCAUGCGGCAACAGCACGCACUGGGGAUGCUGGCGGUCAUGCAGUCCAUGCACCAGCGCCGGGAGCUGUGCGAUGUGACACUAGUGGUGCAAGGCCGGUCCAUCCUGGCCCACCGGCUGGUGCUCGCCGCCUGUAGCCCCUACUUCAAUGCCAUGUUCACCAGCGAGCUGAGGGAGUGCAACGAGAAGACGGUCACGUUGCAGGACAUGGACCAUGUGGCCAUCCAGGAGAUCGUCAACUUUGCGUACUCGGCCAAGGUCAGCGUGACGGAGGACAAUGUCCAGUCGGUGCUGAAGGCUGCGUGCCUGCUGCAGAUCGAGCCGGUGAUUGGCCUGUGCUGCGAGUUCCUCAAGACGCAGUUGCACCCGUCAAACUGCCUUGGCAUCCGCGGUUUCGCUGAGCGGCAUGGCUGCUUCGAGCUGCAGCAGGCCGCCGACGCAUUCGCCCAGCAGAACUUCUGCCAGGUUGCGCAGCAGGAGGAGUUCCUCCACCUUGGCGUGGAGGACCUCAUCGACCUGAUCCGACGGGACGCACUGAACGUCCCGAAAGAAGAAGACGUGUACGAGGGUGUCAUGCGCUACGUGGACCAGAAUCGCGAGGAGCGCAUUCCGCGGGUCGGGGAGAUCUUCGAGCAUGUCCGCCUGCCUCUCUUGUCCUGGGAGUUCCUCCACAGCCGUGUCAAGGAGGACAACGUGGUCACCACGGACGAGAAAUGUAAGAGCUUUUUCGACGAGGCGAGGCGGUAUCACGCAAGCCAGUUCUACCCUGGUUUGCAUUGGGAAGUCAGCAUUCGAACAUUACCCAGGCACUCAUUCAGCCGGUCUAUUUAUAUUUAUGUGGUUGGCGGUGAACUGAACCCGGGCCGCACCACCACCAGCACGGUGGAGCGCUACACCCCGGCCCUCAACUGCUGGACCUCGGUCAACCCCAUGGGCUCGCCACGGCGGGGCGUGGGCACGGUCAUGCUGGACAAGAUCCUGUAUGCGGUGGGCGGCUCGGACAACGCGGCGCUGAACGUGGUGGAGUGCUUUGACCCUGCCACGGGGGGCUGGCGUUACCUGGCGCCCCUCCAGGAGCCCCGCAGCAGCGUGGCUGUGGCGGCAGCCGGGGGCUACGUGUACGCAUUUGGCGGCUACAAUGGGAUGACCAGUUCCCGGACAGUGGAGCGAUUUAAUCCCAAUACAAAUGAGUGGAAACACACGACAGAAAUGACAUCGCCGCGUAGCAUGGCUGCUGCCGUUACCCAUGGGACCAGCAUCUAUGUGAUCGGAGGUUACGACGGCUCAGCCGAUUUGAGCAGUGUGGAGUGCUUCUCACCAGGGGUCAAGAAGUGGCGGACAGUUUCCCCCAUGCACACAGCUCGAUCCAUGGUGGCUGCGACAGCUUUCAAAGAGAGGAUUUACGUGGUUGGUGGAUGCCAUUGCAGCAUCAGUUUGGCCAGCGUAGAGGUCUACAAUCCGGCCAACGACACCUGGACUCAGGCCCAGGCCAUGCACCACCCCCGCAGCGGCGUGGGCCUGGCCGCCAUCAACCAGCGGCUCUACGCCCUGGGAGGCUACGACGGCAACGAGUACCUGCGCUCCGUGGAGAUGUACGAGAAGGAGGAGGAUGAGUGGACCGUUGUCAGCAACAUGGAGACCCCCCGACGCCGGUUUGGGUGCUGCUCGUAACGCUAGGUAGGGGAGUCUGGAUCAGGAGCCCAAUAGUUGAUCAGCGCUAUCCAGGAGCUUCUAAAUAUUUCUUAUCUUGUCCCAAGGGGGAAAUCCAGAACCAUAAUAUUUGGGCGGCCCAAACUCGUUUUAUGGGGGCCAUUCGUGUAAUCUUUAGACUACAUUUGAGGGCUUGUAGCAUGCUUUUGGAAAGGCUAGUAAUGAAGUAGGCCUAAAAAAUUGUUAUUCUCCCAUUAUUUGUCAAGAAAUUCUUUUUGGGGGGGCGUAACCCUUGCCCCCCCAUCCAAUCAUGUCUAGUCCCUUGACCCAUUUCCUUUAAAUUGACGGAAGGUCAACUCUAGAGUGGUAAAUGACACGGAGACACUGAUGAUAUCGGGUUCACGAUUUGACUUUUUCUCGAGAAAUGUGUUUGUGCAAUUCUCUGGGAACAUUUCUCGUCGACUGUCUAAAUGUAUUCAAAAAGGGCUUUUGGAUCCUUUCAAAGAAAAAUCACAAACGUUUUUGCCAAUAUGGCAGUUUUUUGUCAUUUCCGAACAUUCUUUCAAACAUACAGCUAUUACGGGAUUUCGAAAUCUGGACCAUUUACUUCUUAAAUACCCAGGGAUUGAAGGGACCAUACAAACCCACAAAGGCCAAAAAUCAGAUCUUUUUUGGGGGGGGGUAGUGUAAGUACAUGUCAUCUUUAUUCUGUAGAGGCUUUCCUUCGUGUCACCUCGGGCGAGGUUCAGUUUGCUCCAGUGUUUUCAUUUUCCCGUGACUAUUCUUUCCGUGAACGAUUUCCCAGCCAUUGGUCAGCUCUAGGGCAUAUUGUCUCUGUUAGAUUUACCACCACUGGGAGCUUCAAAAUGUGCCCAAUCACCCCAAACUCAGUUGAAGUGGCUCCGUUUGCAACCAUUUGGCGUCUGUGUGAAAUGUUGGACCCUGUUAGCCCUGAUGUCAUAUUCAAUUAGCUGCCUAGUGUAACUAAACAGCAAGAAGCCUGAAUCUGCUUUCCCUGGAGAAGGUACUCAGUUCGGUAAUUACAUAUUUCAGAGCACUGAUUAUAUUAUUUUAUUCUUGUCAAUAUAUAGCAAAAAGCCUUGUGCCCAACUAUGCCAUGUUGGAAGGCUGCAAACCUUCAUUAAACAAGUUCAUGCGAAAUGUACUAAAUGUAAGAUUAUUGGAAAUCAUGCACCGAUUUUUGUACAAUUCACUGCUGCAUUAACAGACCAAAAAAAAAAAGAUCUUUCUGUCUAAUUGAAAGGUUUAAUGAAGCUCUAAUUCUGUGUAAUGGAUUUUAUUAUUGAAAUAUUUUCAGGAUAUUUUCUGGUACUUCUUUGUAUUAAUUGUACAGGUAUGUUACGUUUUCACAUUCUGAACUGUGAUGUCAGCUUCUGCACUAUAGCAUUCAGUACUUUAAUUUAUUCACACGAAUGCACAGAGCUGCUGCUUGUUGAAAUCAAGAGAUUGCAUAUUUAAAUUCAGGUCUUGAUCGGGAUUCUUCAGGCAAUUUGUCAAAUCUGCAAGCUCCUUUAUGUACUAUUUCUAAUUUUUUGUAAGUUCUUUCGAUUUUAUCACUUUGAUGUUCAGUGCAAGCUUAUGUGAAUUUUGUUCAUAUUUGAUAUUGUGUACCAAGAAUAUCUCUACUCAAGUACUGAUGAAUCAUGCAACCUUCGGAUAAACGUUUAUUAUUUUGAUAUAAAUGUGAAUUGUGUUCAGAGAGCUUCUUAAGAUGUAGAGAAAUUUUCAACUACAUCAGAUGAUAAUAUGUGGUCUAUUUUUUUCCCAUUACCCGGCUGCAAAGCUUCUCUGCCUGGACAUGUAUGUGUAUACAGUUAUCUCUGUCGCAAGAUUUGGGAAACUUUAUUCUUGUAAAAAACAACCGUUGCAUUAUUGCAGCAAAGCACUUAAAUGGCAAAGAUAUACGUUCACGUUUUACUGAAGCCUUUGGGUUCUACAUGUGUCAAGAAUUGUACACAAACAAUUAGUGAAAUAGUACAUGUACACAGGAAGUUGAUGUCGCGUUGUACACUAAAGCUAGCUCUUCGCUCGUCGCCUGCCGAAGAGCUGAUGGCUUUGCACUGCGGAUUGGCUACAUUGUGAACGACCUGUGACCAUGAGGUUAUCACUUCCUAUUAGCAAUGCGUUAUUUCAAUUUUUUGGUUCAUCAGUGGCAAUGCUGUGACGCAGCCAAUGUCGGCUUAUAUGAUAAAAAAACAUGGCCUUGGUACAAUCACAGUGUGAUAAUUUAUUUUCUCACUAUUACUUAAAGUAUAACUGAUCACGCGUCUUUUGGCGAUAUAUUUCAAAUCAUUGGUUAUCUUGGUCAAUUUUGGAUGAACGAAUAAAGUGUAGUGAGGAUGUUUUCAGCAAUGAGGAAGAAAAAGAAAAAAUACGGAAUUGAUAGCCGCCGCUUGUGAAUUAAAUGCGUUGAGGAAACUCACGCUUCUGGCAAAAAUUCACCCACAAUGCUGUGCAAGGCCAUGCUGUGCAAGGCCAUCAGUCCUUCCCAGCGCCCUGUUCGGGCGAUGGGCAACGAGCGAAGAGCUAGUUAAGUUUGCAGUAGAGGUUCUGCGUUGAUGCAUCUUCUUGAGGGCGAAAGUUCUGUAUCACUGGCCUGGGCACAGACUUGGUAAACCUUUUGUGCAAAGCAGCCCCUGACACCAUGGAGACGCCGCCAACGCCUAGAAACCUCUACUCGCGUUCAUGAAUACACCCUCCAAAGUGUGGAAUUAUGUUGCUUUGUACUUCAUGUAUAUGUCUUAAAGUGAUGGAUUUUUAUGUAUGUAAGAGCAACAGUAUCACGUUUUGGUUCCGGAUUGCUGCAGUGACUUUGAUGUUGCUCUUAAGUUUUGCUAGUUCACAUCGCAGGUUUUGUCGGAAAUUGGCACCACCAGACAAUUUAUUUUUUUACCAAAUGUAAGAUUAAACUGUACAUAUUUGCCAUUCGCAGUGGGUGUUUUGUAAGAUGUCUAAUUAAUCAAAUGAGUAUAGUUGAUGACUUUUUUUCGAUGGUGUUUGACUUGUUUAUGUAAACAGUAGUGUGGAGACAUGCUCUUCAUAUGGUUACAUUUUAGUACUGACAGCUGUCACUUAAUUCCUUAACAUUUUUUGCCUGCUGUCAAAUUUUGGCAUGCCUUUUCCCUUGUUCCUCACAGUCAUUAAUGUACAGACUACUUUUUCCAGUAAUACAAUUAACUCUAGGUAUAACAAAGUAACGGGAACCAGGCAAUUUUUUUUACACCUAGGACUUUGUUAUGAAAACCGAGGAAAAAC